CCUCACCGCAGCACCUGUUUUUGUGUUCUGGAGACACUGAGAAAGGCACCUGAUUCUUCCCAGACUGGAGCAAAUUGAGUUCCCUGCAAGAAUUGGCCCAGUCUCUCCAUACAUCCAAGGUUGCCUCAUCCCAGUGUUCAGGCCUGUGACAUCUGGGAUUGAUCCUGUUCUUAGCAAAGUCAAUGGCAAAAUUUCCAUGAGCUCCAUUUCCUGGUCCUAACUUUGCCAUAUCCAAGUGCAAGCACCCAAAAGCCCUUCCUGUGCUGCAUGACUGUGUAGGUGCACCCAAAAAUGUCCAUGUAUGAUGUCCCUCAUGAUCCAUGAGAGUUAACUCGUUAACUUCUUAACUGGCUGGGUUAAGCCAGGCUAGUGUACACAACAUCCCUGGUGAACUCUGCUCAAGAUUAGAGAAAAGCAACAAUCUGAGCUUUGGUCGUGGGGAUGGAUGCACCUCGUAAGUCACAGUUAAACAAAUGGAAGCAAGAAGGAUUUUUCAGACCCAUAGCUUUGGUUUUCCAUACCGCCUAUGCUUGCUUUUUUCCCUGAUAAUAACUUUUGCUGUAGAUUCUAUCUGCUUAAAGUUUGGAUUAUCAUGUCAUUUGUUAACCUGAGGGUACUCAGCCAAUCCUGUAAGUUUGGUUAUUGCUUGAUCUGUUCAAAAGAACACCACUUUUCCUUUACUUGCAAAUAUUAUCAUUGUCAAAUAUUAAAUGAUUUGCUGAACCAUUGUGUAACAACAUGUCUUAACAUGUUUGUCAGUGGAUAUAUUUAGCUGGUAUGGAUAUUGUAU